rnacentral:rRNA from 1 species
UAAGCAUAUCAAUAAGCGGAGGAAAAGAAACCAACAGGGAUUGCCUCAGUAACGGCGAGUGAAGCGGCAACAGCUCAAAUUUGAAAUCUGGCCCCCCUUGGGGGUCCGAGUUGUAAUUUGGAGAGGAUGUUUCUGGCGCGGCGCCUUCCGGAGUUCCUUGGAACAGGACGCCACAGAGGGUGAGAGCCCCGUACGGUCGGCCGCCUAGCCUCCACGAAACUCCUUCGACGAGUCGAGUAGUUUGGGAAUGCUGCUCAAAAUGGGAGGUAAAUUUCUUCUAAAGCUAAAUACUGGCCAGAGACCGAUAGCGCACAAGUAGAGUGAUCGAAAGAUGAAAAGCACCUUGAAAAGAGGGUUAAACAGUACGUGAAAUUGUUGAAAGGGAAGCGCCUGCGACCAGACUCGCGCCCCGCGGACCAGCCGGCGUUCUCGCCGGUGCACUCCGCGGGGGGCGGGCCAGCAUCGGUUUUCCCCGGGGGAGAAAGGCCGCGGGAACGUAGCUCCUUCGGGAGUGUUAUAGCCCGUGGCGCCAUGCCCCAGGGGGGACCGAGGACCGCGCUCGGCAAGAUGCGCAAU